UACGUAGGCAGCAAGCGUUGUUCGGAGUUACUGGGCGUAAGGGUAGGUGUAGGCGGUUGGAUAAGUGUGGUGUGAAAUCUCCCGGCUUAACUGGGAGGGUGCGCUACAAACUGUCUGACUAGAGUAUGGGAUGGGAGAGUGGAAUUCCUGGUGUAGCGGUGAAAUGCGUAGAUAUCAGGAGGAACACCGGUGGUGUAGACGGCUCUCUGGACCAUUACUGACGCUGAGACACGAAAGCGUGGGGAGCAAAAGGG
rnacentral:rRNA from 1 species